CGAGGAUUCCCCUAGUAACGGCGAGUGAACGGGGAAAAGCCCAGCGCUGAAUCCUUCGGCCACUGGUCGCUUGGAAUUGUAGCGUAUAGGUGCGACCGUCCGCCUGUUUCGCUUACCCAAAGUCCCCUUGAGCGGGGCUAUUGUCCAAAGAAGGUGCUAGACCUGUACGGGUGGUGAGACGGUCGGUUGGUUGCUCCUUGGAGUCGGGUUGCCUGGGAUCGCAGCCCAAAGUUGGUGGUAGACCUCAUCUAAGGCUAAAUAUGGCCACGAAACCGAUAGCAAACAAGUACCGUGAGGGAAAGUUGCAAAGAACUUUGAAGAGAGAGUUCAAGAGGGCGUGAAACCGCUGAGAUUGAAACGGAUAGAGUUGACGGAACUCGGCUGCAUUCAUUCGGUCGGCCUAGCGGCCCCAUGGGAUUGGCUUCCUCGAUGAGGGCAGUUCUGUGGAUAGCUGUUGGGUGCUUGAUCGGUGUAUUUGCGGCCGGUAUGCGCUGAGAGCGUCGUGGCCGCAUGUUGAGGGGUGUGUAGUGGACCAUUCCUUCCGGGCGUGGAACCCUCCGCACUUUGAGGCAUGGUGGCCAUGAGGUUUUGAACGUAGCGUCUCCGCUAUGGUGUGUCGGUCUUGUCGAGCUGUUGCGGCAAUGGGGUGUCGCGUGCGACGUUCUGUAGUUGUCGAUGGCGUGAUGGGAUGCAGACGCGUCGAGGCGUCUAUCUCGGUGUGAACGUUGACCACCUAUC
rnacentral:rRNA from 1 species